GACGAACGCUGGCGGCGUGCUUAACACAUGCAAGUCGAACGGAAAGGCCCUGCUUUUGUGGGGUGCUCGAGUGGCGAACGGGUGAGUAACACGUGAGUAACCUGCCCUUGACUUUGGGAUAACUUCAGGAAACUGGGGCUAAUACCGGAUAGGAGCUCCUGCUGCAUGGUGGGGGUUGGAAAGUUUCGGCGGUUGGGGAUGGACUCGCGGCUUAUCAGCUUGUAGGUGGGGUAGUGGCUUACCAAGGCUUUGACGGGUAGCCGGCCUGAGAGGGUGACCGGCCACAUUGGGACUGAGAUACGGCCCAGACUCCUACGGGAGGCAGCAGUGGGGAAUAUUGCACAAUGGGCGGAAGCCUGAUGCAGCAACGCCGCGUGCGGGAUGACGGCCUUCUGGUUGUAAACCGCUUUCGCCUGUGACGAAGCGUGAGUGACGGUAAUGGGUAAAGAAGCACCGGCUAACUACGU
rnacentral:rRNA from 1 species